rnacentral:rRNA from 1 species
CCAAUAGCGUAUAUUAAAGUUGUUGCAGUUAAAAAGCUCGUAGUUGAAUUUUGGGUUUGGCCGAUUGGUCCGUUCUUGUAACGAGUACUGGUCGGUUGGGCCUCACCGCCUGGUGAUGCGUAAUGUCCUUUAUUGGGUGUUGCGAGUAGCCAGGACCUUUACCUUGAAAAAAUUAGAGUGUUUAAAGCAGGCUUAUGCCGGAAUACAUUAGCAUGGAAUAAUAGAAUAGGACGAUGAUUCUAUUUUGUUGGUUUCUAGGAGCAUCGUAAUGAUUAAUAGGGAUAGUUGGGGGCAUUAGUAUUCAAUUGUCAGAGGUGAAAUUCUUGGAUUUAUUGAAGACUAACUACUGCGAAAGCAUUUGCCAAGGAUGUUUUCAUUAAUCAAGAACGAAAGUUAGGGGAUCGAAGACGAUCAGAUACCGUCGUAGUCUUAACCAUAAACUAUGCCGACUAGGGAUCGGGCGAUGUUGUUUCAAUGACUCGCUCGGCACCUUAUG